rnacentral:rRNA from 1 species
UACGUAGGGUGCAAGCGUUGUCCGGAAUUAUUGGGCGUAAAGGGCUCGUAGGCGGUCCAUCACGUCGGGAGUGAAAAGCUGGGGCUUAACCCCAGUCCUGCUUCCGAUACGGGUGGACUAGAGGUAGGUAGGGGAGAACGGAAUUCCUGGUGUAGCGGUGAAAUGCGCAGAUAUCGGGAGGAACACCAGUGGCGAAGGCGGCACUCUGGGCCAGUACUGACGCUGAGGAGCGAAAGCGUGGGGAGCGAACAGG